rnacentral:antisense_RNA from 1 species
UUUCGCAUUGGGCUUGCGCGCCACGAUGCCGUUGCCGACAGCGUGCAGAAGGUGCGUUUUACCCAGACCCGUGCCGCCGUA